UACGAAGGGGGCGAGCGUUGUUCGGAUUUACUGGGCGUACAGGGAGCGUAGGCGGUUGGAUAAGCCCUCCGUGAAAUCUCCAGGCUUAACCUGGAAAGUGCAGAGGGGACUGUUCAGCUAGAGGAUGGGAGAGGAGCGCGGAAUUCCCGGUGUAGCGGUGAAAUGCGUAGAGAUCGGGAGGAAGGCCGGUGGCGAAGGCGGCGCUCUGGAACAUUUCUGACGCUGAGGCUCGAAAGCGUGGGGAGCAAACAGG
rnacentral:rRNA from 1 species